GAUGAACGCUGGCGGCGUGCCUAACACAUGCAAGUCGAGCGAUUCUCUUCGGAGAAGAGCGGCGGACGGGUGAGUAACGCGUGGGUAACCUGCCCUGUACACACGGAUAACAUACCGAAAGGUAUGCUAAUACGGGAUAACAUAAGAAAUUCGCAUGUUUUUCUUAUCAAAGCUCCGGCGGUACAGGAUGGACCCGCGUCUGAUUAGCUAGUUGGUGAGGUAACGGCUCACCAAGGCGACGAUCAGUAGCCGACCUGAGAGGGUGAUCGGCCACAUUGGAACUGAGACACGGUCCAAACUCCUACGGGAGGCAGCAGUGGGGAAUAUUGCACAAUGGGCGAAAGCCUGAUGCAGCAACGCCGCGUGAGCGAUGAAGGCCUUCGGGUCGUAAGCUCUGUCCUCAAGGAAGAUAAUGACGGUACUUGAGGAGGAAGCCCGGCUAACUACGUG
rnacentral:rRNA from 1 species